AGAGACGACCUUGUCAAGCUUUACGGCGCAUUCUCUAUGGGCAGGAAUUUUACAGCAGCCUUCUAAACUCCUUUCGAGGUAAUUAAGAUGGAGAAUUUUUUGUGUUUGUCAUGCCUAAUAAGGUUGAAUUUUCUUUAAUUGAAGUGUCAGCUUGACAUGUGAACGGAAACCGUGUUCACCACGGCGCUUUAAUUUGUUAUUUCUGUACCAUUAUUCAUGGUACAUUGUGCAUCGACUCAUGCAUGGGUGAAAAGAAGGCGAAAAUAAAGAUCGAUUGAGUUAAUUAUUACCGCAUAUUUUUUAUCUGUUUGAAAGUAAAGAUGAACCUAGCAGCAAGAGAGAAGAUGGUGAUCGAUGAUACUAAGAUGGAUAUAUAAAUUCUGACCUCUGGAUUUAGAUUAGAUAGACGAUGUUUAUAUCGCAUAAAAACAAAGCAAAAAACAGGCGCAUGUGAUUUGGCAAUUCCCUGAUUACCGCGAGACGGCGGAUGCAAAGACCAGGCGUUGGCAGUUGACCAUUCAUGCAUAUACGUGAAUAUAUUAAUAAUAGUAAACUAUAAAAGAGUCCAGAUAAUUAGGCUGUCUGAUGACAUGCAUAUGCUACGACGUACAUCGGAGGCUAGGGUUGUUCGAUGAUGACUUGGUGAUCGAGACUGCAGGAAUUAUUCCCCCGGUUCAUCUAACAUACAGCAAUGUUCUUUCUUUUGAUUCAAGAACUGACAUUUGUACUAAAUUUUGUGGGAUGUAAAUAAACCGAUCGAGGCAGGAAUUAUUCAGCUAUUAGC
rnacentral:lncRNA from 7 species